rnacentral:rRNA from 1 species
GUGAGUAACGCGUGAGGAACCUGCCUUCCAGAGGGGGACAACAGUUGGAAACGACUGCUAAUACCGCAUGACGCAUGACCGGGGCAUCCCGGGCAUGUCAAAGAUUUUAUCGCUGGAAGAUGGCCCCGCGUCUGAUUAGCUAGAUGGUGGGGUAACGGCCCACCAUGGCGACGAUCAGUAGCCGGACUGAGAGGUUGACCGGCCACAUUGGGACUGAGACACGGCCCAGACUCCUACGGGAGGCAGCAUG